UGUUGAAAAACCGGUUCCCGUACGAUCACCGAAGUUAAGCAACGUCGGGCCUGCUACAUCGAUGGGUGACUGCUUGGGAAUACCAAGUGCUGUAAG